rnacentral:lncRNA from 1 species
UUAUUUCGAUUAAUGGACCACAGGCAACUAAUGGGGAAGGAACUCCACGGUUUGAGCAUUAAAGACCUGCAAAAUCUAGAAAAUCAAUUGGAAAUAAGCCUGCAAGGGGUCCGCAUGAAAAAGGUUAGAAAACCUAAUUUUGAUAUGAUUAGAUGAUUUCAACAUGUAUUAUGUACAGUUUGUAUAUAAUUUUAAUACUUAUUUUCUAAGGUUAUUCUAGUAGAAUUGACGUUUUUUUAGUUCUAAUGCAUAGUAAUGCUACAUUUGCAGGACGAGAUAUUAACCGAUGAGAUUCAAGCGCUACACACAAAGGUUUUCUCCAACUACAUAUAUAUACUCAAUUUCUUAGUGUGAAUAAUUUAAAUGAAUCCCUUAAGUUAUUACUAUUUGAUUGUGACAUGGUGAGCUUAUCUGAAUUACUGAAUAUAUUACAGGGAAAUCUUCUUCACCAAGAAAAUAUAGAACUCUAUAAAAAGGUAAACCUCAUUUGUCAAGAAAACAUGGAAAUGAACAAGAAGGUACCCUUGGUUGCGUCCUUACUAACAAAACUGAAUUAGAUGGCCCUCGCUAUUGAUUGUGUUGAGAGAUCCUGAUCACUUACUGAUAGUCCAUGUAAAAUUGGCUGCAAACACCUUAGCUUGACUGAUAUUGAUAAAUUUAUCUAUCUCGGAUCAGGUUUACGGAAGAGAUGCAACUGUAGGAAACAGAAACACAGCAAUUCCCUACGACUUGGGCAUUAUUGAGGACCCUCGGGUUCCUGUUCACCUCCAGCUAUGCUUGCCAGAGCAACCAAGUGUUAAGGCACUGGAAACAGGCCCAAAAUUGAGGUAAACAUUUAUCCGGCCAUAUAGCAUCAAUUUCCUUUAAUCAUGUUAGCACAUUUUAUGUAAUGCAUGAAAACUUUAUUAUUGUAGGUAAAAUAUAUAAACAUUUAAAUUUUAUAUAGAGUAGUGCUAGGUGCACAUAAUUGUGUACAGAAAAUUUGUACAUAAUGAUGUGGCAAGUGAUGUGGUGGGUUUUAAUUGGGGUGGUUGGUGUAAAUGCAGAGGGGGCCAUCCAAUUAAAAUCCACCACAUGUCAAUAUGUCAUUAUGUACAUGUUUUUGUACACAAUUAUGUGCACCAAGCAUUUUCCUUUUAUAUAUAUGACAAUUAAUAAUAACUGAUAAAUUAUUUCAACAAAAAAAACAUCAUAUUGUGCCCGUCCGGCUCUAAUUCUUUAUGAAUAUGUGUAUUAAUCAGAAAGUUCAUAAAAAUGCAGGUGACAUUGUAUUGGUGGGAUAGAAUACUGCGCCAAAAAGAAAAGAAUAUCAGCAAGAAAUGUUACAAAUCUGAGAUGGUAUAAUUGUUUGAAAGGAUUUCGAGACUAAUAAUGCAGCUCAAUUUAUUACAGAAUGAGACUAAUUAAGUGUAAAAUUAUAUACAACAGUAGGGUUAUCCCCAACUUCUCACCUACCCAAUUGGGGUAAUAAUUAAAAAUGUCUAUUGCUUACUUUUAAAUUCCAUAUCGAGAUUAAAAAUGUUGUUAAUUAGUUGUUCCUUUCAAUCUUUGGAAACAAUUAAUAGCCUUCUCGUGAGCAAACACAUGCUAAAAGAGAGUAGAAAUUAACUGGCGGAUCCCUCAACUCCAGAUGGUUUCUGUAAAUUUGCAUGUUAAUUACGUCGGGAAGAAAGUGUGCCGACGUAUCUCAAAAACGAGAAGCAAGUACGUACCUGCAUGUGCAGCUAAUUGGUAUAUAUGAUUGGUCAUAUAAUCGUGGUUAUAUAGAUGCUUUUUAUGCAAGGUUCUUUAUUUGGGGAAUAAGAGGAUUGGCCAAAGUUAACUUCUUUUUUUGAUAGACGAGUGAUUGAUGGAAUUACUAAUGGAGUUGGUGGUUUGAGUUUCUUUUUAGGUGAAG